CAGUAGCCGCGGGAAUACGAAGGGGGCUAGCGUUGCUCGGAAUCACUGGGCGUAAAGGGUGCGUAGGCGGGUCUUUAAGUCAGGGGUGAAAUCCUGGAGCUCAACUCCAGAACUGCCUUUGAUACUGAAGAUCUUGAGUUCGGGAGAGGUGAGUGGAACUGCGAGUGUAGAGGUGAAAUUCGUAGAUAUUCGCAAGAACACCAGUGGCGAAGGCGGCUCACUGGCCCGAUACUGACGCUGAGGCACGAAAGCGUGGGGAGCAAACAGGAUUAGAUACCCCUGUAGUCCCUGUCUCUUAUAU
rnacentral:rRNA from 1 species